UACGAAGGGUGCAAGCGUUACUCGGAAUUACUGGGCGUAAAGCGUGCGUAGGUGGUUUGUUAAGUCUGUUGUGAAAGCCCCGGGCUCAACCUGGGAAUGGCGAUGGAUACUGGCAGGCUAGAGUGCGGUAGGGGGUAGUGGAAUUCCCGGUGUAGCGGUGAAAUGCGUAGAGAUCGGGAGGAACACCAGUGGCGAAGGCGGCUACCUGGACCAGCACUGACACUGAGGCACGAAAGCGUGGGGAGCAAACAGG
rnacentral:rRNA from 1 species